rnacentral:rRNA from 1 species
UACGAAGGGGGCUAGCGUUGCUCGGAAUCACUGGGCGUAAAGCGCACGUAGGCGGAUCUUUAAGUCAGGGGUGAAAUCCUGGAGCUCAACUCCAGAACUGCCUUUGAUACUGGGGAUCUCGAGUCCGGAAGAGGUGAGUGGAACUCCGAGUGUAGAGGUGAAAUUCGUAGAUAUUCGGAAGAACACCAGUGGCGAAGGCGGCGAUCUGGGUCGAUACUGACGCUGAGGUGCGAAAGCGUGGGGAGCAAACAGG